AAUUGUAACAACCACACAAAUAAAAUAAAGAAAUAGAACACUGGCAGCUCUGCGGAAGCUCCUGUAGUCAUCUCUCCAAAUCGCUACUGGCCUUCCCCUCCAAAUGAAAUUGCCAUCCUCACUUUGUGGCAGUCCGUUCUCCGAGCACCUCUUCCUUUUCAGGCUUCAUCCAUGUGCUAGUUCAGCCUGUGAGAUGCUGGUGAGCCCACCUCCAGGCACUCACGGACUCCCCACCCAUUGAGUGUGGCCUGGAUUUAGUGACUCAAUCAAACGUGACAGAGUGCUGGGGUGUCAUUUUCAAGACUGGGUUAUGUGAAGACUGCAGCCUCCAUCUGGGGUGCUCUCUCUUGGAUUGCUUGCUCAGGGAUGUGGGGAGAGCUGCUGUGCUGGGAGGCUGCCCAUGUGAGUUGACUUGGAUGUGAACCUUCUGUGGCCUGCCAAUAGCCACGUGAGUGACCUUGAAAAUGGAUCAGCCUUCACUCAAGUCUCAAGAUGACUGUGGUCUUGGCUGACAGCUUGAUUGCUGUCUCAUGGGGGACCUUAAACCAAAGGCACCCUGCUAAGCCACACACAGCUUCCUGGCCCACAGAAACUAUGAAAUAAUAACCAUUUCUUAUAUAAGCCUCCAAGUUUUGGGAGUAAUAUUUUGCACAGUGAUGGAUCACUAAUACAAGCCAGUCAUCAGUUGAAAGACACUGAAUUUAUUUCCAGUUUUAUGUGAUUAUGAAUAAUGUCACCAUAUGCAUUUGCAUACAGGUGUUUGUGUGGACACUGCUGUCAUUUCUCUUGGGAAGAUACUGAGGAGUCAGAUUGCUGGAUCCCGUGAAGAAUGUAUGUUGAAUGUUAUAAAAAUCUGCCAACUUAAAUCUGUUUCCUGGUGCUCUUUCGUCAGCAUUGGGAGAUGCUCUAACAUUUCUCACCAAGUCUUUCUUCUGCUCAUGCGCUCCCUCUUCUUUCCCUAAGACUUCAAUCAUCCUCCUCAUUGCCCUUUAUAUCUCUAAACCAUUGUCUGGAGUUUCCAUUCUUCCCUUUUGCUUCAAUCUGUUUCAUUCUGGGGAUUUUCUGAGUUAUCUUCCACUUCUCCAGUUAUUUUUUAUUUGUUUUGUUUUUAAACAACUAUAUCUAAUUAAAUUUAACUUUAUCCUCUGUUGUACUCAAUUUUAUUACUGCAUUUUCCAAUUUCAGAAUUUCCAUUUGACGAUUUCCUUAUAGUUUCCUAUUUCUGCUGAAAUUCUCGUUGUUUUAUUUCGUG
rnacentral:lncRNA from 10 species